UAGGCAGCAGUGGGGAAUAUUGGACAAUGGGCGCAAGCCUGAUCCAGCCAUGCCGCGUGAGUGAUGAAGGCCCUAGGGUUGUAAAGCUCUUUCAGCGAGGAGGAUAAUGACGUUACUCGCAGAAGAAGCCCCGGCUAACUUCGUGCCAGCAGCCGCGGUAAUA
rnacentral:rRNA from 1 species